ACCAUUUCGAGGCAGAGCAUCCAAGACCAUCGACAGCUUUCUCCGAAACCAAACAGAGCUGGGAAAAGGAAAAUGGCGACCUACAAGAUAAGGAGAAUCGACGUUGAUUUCCCGUUCGAGGCCGACGAUUGCCAUCUCGUUUACACGGAAAAAAAUCAUACAGUCUCUUCAAAACAGAUGCAAUGCACUUCUGGAGAGUCCAGCGGCAACAGGGAAAACUACAUGCCUUCUUUGUCCCUCCUUGGCCUGGAGGAAGAGUUUAGGUGGAUUUUCAACGGGUAAGAUCAAAGGAAUGGUCGGAUUGCGGGUAGUAAAUCGGAUUUUGUGCGAUCAUCAGCACCCGAAGAUGGUACUCUUCCUAUUAUAGUGUAUGCUUCAAGCAUGCAUAGCCAGCUUCGGCAAGAGAUUCAAGAGGAGCAGCUACAGGUUGAAGUUCAUUUUUUCGAUUUCUUUUGCAGUCAAAAUAAUUAAUAGUGGAUGGAAUUGAAUUUGGUUUCUUGACGUGUUGCUUUUGUUUAUCACUGUCAACUGUACUAGUCUAAUUUGAUGAAAGCCAAUGUCUUUACAGUGAGUAUUUGCAUAUUCUUUCCGAAUAAUAGUAAGGGCAUUUGGCUUCUUUUUCAACAAAUGUCGGCGUAGUAGUCUUUAUAUUAUGACAAGCUCAAUGAAUUGGUCUGGUUAUCGGGUUUCAACUAGCUAAACUUUAAAGAAUAUGAAGGCCUAAAACGGUGAUAUUCGGCUCUCGAGAACAGUUAUGCGUUCAUGAGGAAGUCAGCUUACUGCGUGGAAAAGUACAGAAUAAUACUUGCCAUCUUAUUUGCAGAAAACGGGAAAGUAUCAAUCAUCCCAUUAUUCGCGUGUUGAAGGGUUCAUGUGUAGGAAGGUGACACAAAUGCUGCAGAUGUCUUAAAAGUUAUUCAGGGCAAAAUUAUGCUGAUGUUUGGGCCAAUAUGUCAUUGUGCUUUAUUCAUAGUCUUAUUCGCGAAAUCUCUUUCAAUUUACUUACCUAUUUAGCAGCUUAAACUUGCAAUGCCCAAGUUAAGUAACACAUUAGUACUUGCAUGAUGUUUAAUGUUUUGUAUAAAAAUCAACUCUUGGGAAUUGCCGUAAGAAAUUUGUCUUCUU